rnacentral:rRNA from 1 species
UACGUAGGUGGCAAGCGUUGUCCGGAUUUAUUGGGUUUAAAGGGUGCGUAGGUGGUCUUGUAAGUCAGUGGUGAAAUCCGGCAGCUUAACUGUCGAUGUGCCAUUGAUACUGCAGGACUUGAGUACAGACGAGGUAGGCGGAAUUGACGGUGUAGCGGUGAAAUGCUUAGAUAUCGUCAAGAACACCGAUAGCGAAGGCAGCUUACUAGACUGUAACUGACACUGAUGCACGAAAGUGUGGGGAUCAAACAGG